rnacentral:rRNA from 1 species
GAUGAACGCUGACAGGAUGCUUAACACAUGCAAGUCAACUUGAAUUUGGGUUUUUAACUUAGGUUUGGGUGGCGGACGGGUGAGUAACGCGUAAAGAACUUGCCUCACAGUUAGGGACAACAUUUGGAAACGAAUGCUAAUACCUAAUAUUAUGAUAAUAGGGCAUCCUAUAAUUAUGAAAGCUAUAAGCGCUGUGAGAGAGCUUGCGUCCCAUUAGCUAGUUGGAGAGGUAACGGCUCACCAAGGCGAUGAUGGGUAGCCGGCCUGAGAGGGUGAUCGGCCACAAGGGGACUGAGACACGGCCCUUACUCCUACGGGAGGCAGCAGUGGGGAAUAUUGGACAAUGGACCAAGAGUCUGAUCCAGCAAUUCUGUGUGCACGAUGAAGUUUUUCGGAAUGUAAAGUGCUUUCAGUUGGGAAGAAAGAAAUGACGGUACCAACAGAAGAAGUGACGGCUAAAUACGUGCCAGCAGCCGCGGUAAUACGUAUGUCACGAGCGUUAUCCGGAUUUAUUGGGCGUAAAGCGCGUCUAGGUGGUUAUGUAAGUCUGAUGUGAAAAUGCAGGGCUCAACUCUGUAUUGCGUUGGAAACUGUAUAACUAGAGUACUGGAGAGGUAAGCGGAACUACAAGUGUAGAGGUGAAAUUCGUAGAUAUUUGUAGGAAUGCCGAUGGGGAAGCCAGCUUACUGGACAGAUACUGACGCUGAAGCGCGAAAGCGUGGGUAGCAAACAGG